GAUGAAGAACGUAGCGAAAUGCGAUAAGUAGUGUGAAUUGCAGAAUUCAGUGAAUCAUCGAAUCUUUGAACGCACAUUGCGCCCCUUGGUAUUCCAUGGGGCAUGCCUGUUCGAGCGUCAUUUGUACCUUCAAGCUUUGCUUGGUGUAGGGUGUUUGUCUCGCCUUUGCGUGUAGACUCGCCUUAAAAUAAUUGGCAGCCGGCGUAUUGAUUUCGGAGCGCAGUACAUCUCGCGCUUUGCACUCAUAACGACAGCGUCCAAAAGUACAUUUUACACUCUUGACCUCGGAUCAGGUAGGGAUACCCGCUGAACUUAAGCAUAUCAAUAAGCGGAGGA
rnacentral:misc_RNA from 1 species